CCAUCCGGGCACGCACGGUUAUAGAUGGGAAAGUGGCCAAGGCAAUUCAAACCCAGGACAGACACUUCAGCUGGAGUUCCAUUACCAUUAGACCAAUAGCUCUCGGUUAUACUUUGUUUAUUCCUUGAGGUGAACAUUUGGAAUAAAGAAACAUUGAGAACUGAAGACUGUAUAUAUCACAUAAUUACAAAAGUGCAAAUCGUCUUUGUAAUAGGGGAUGUACAUAAACGUUCGCAUUCUAAAUAUUGGUCGGUAGGUACGUAAUAGUUGCUGCGCUAGAGCAAAAAAAAUAGAUUAAGGUUUGUCUAAAUGCUUUCUAAUGAUGCUACAUCAACAGUUAGAAGAAAUACGAGGAUGACACCUAAAGC
rnacentral:lncRNA from 1 species